CUGCUCCUUGUUUCCCUAUUGGAUUUAUAAGUAAUUAUCUUGUACUUAUGGCCUCAAGUUUCGGAUUCUCCCACAACUGGAAACAUUCUCUCCACAUCUGCUCUGCGGAUUCUUAGCUGCCAAUUGGAGAUGGUAGCGGUCGUGGGUUUGGAAGGUGCUAUCGAAGGAGCCUUGCAGAAUUCCUGCAGUACAUCUUGCAGAUGGUACACACUGCUGUACUGUGCAUCGGUUGUGGAGCGGAUAACAGUGCGGUGGCCUACAGAUGGAGUUGGUGCAAUAAUUAUGGAUGCAGUCGUUCCAACUCAGCCGAUUUCUCUGGCAUGCUUUUUUAUCAUC